ACGGAAGGCAGCAGUGGGGGAUAUUGCACAGUGGAGGAAACUCUGAUGCAGCAACGCCGCGUGAGGGAAGACGGUCUUCGGAUUGUAAACCUAGGUUAACAGGGACGAAUAAAAUGACGGUACCUGAAGAGAAAGCUCCGGCUAACUACGUGCCAGCAGCCGCGGUAAUACGUAGGGAGCGAGCGUUGUCCGGAUUUACUGGGUGUAAAGGGUGCGUAGGCGGGUUUGCAAGUCAGGCGUGAAAUCCCACGGCUUAACUGUGGGGCUGCGCUUGAAACUGUAGAUCUUGAGUGAAGUAGAGGCAAGCGGAAUUCCUAGUGUAGCGGUGAAAUGCGUAGAUAUUAGGAGGAACACCAGUGGCGAAGGCGGCUCGCUGGGCUUUAACUGACGCUGAGGCACGAAAGUAUGGGGAGCAAACAGGAUUAGAUACCCUGGUA
rnacentral:rRNA from 1 species